AAAUGUCGAGGAGGUUCGGAAUCCUUCUGCUGAGCCAGAGUCUGUUCAGCCUGCUCCUGUCGUACCGGAGCCUCGAGCUGCGCCUUCCGUGCCUAUUGGAAGUAGGAAAAAAAUGCUUUCCCGUCGUACGCGCAAGCCCGUACCUCCUAGUAAGUUACUUAUUUCUUAUUUAUUUCGUAACUUGCUUUUUAUUUCUUUCUUUUUUGUUUGUAGGUGCUCCCCCUUCACCCCCCGUUCGGGGUCUUCCACAUCUACCUCGGGAAGCUCGGGUUCUUCUUCCUACUACUCUUCUUCCUCGGAGGAUGUAGAUAUUGGAGGAACCCCCCCCUCCGUUGUUAGGACUCCUCCUUCUACUAUCAUUUUGACAUCCAUUCCUGAGGAGACUUCUACUUCGGGGACUCUAUUUGUGACUAUGGAUAGUUCCGUUCAACUUCCUCCCGAAGUCUGUAGUCAAAACAUUCAUGUCCUUGAGAGUUCCCCUAAGGGUUACCCUUCCGAGACGAGGGACAAAUACCCUUUUCCUUCUCCCCUUGAAGAGAAGCACGCCCCAUCUUUCUAUCGGGAGAUUGAUGGUUCUUGGCGCCAGUGGUCCGUUCUUGUCCGUAACGGUUUCCACGUCGUCCCUAUCCUUGACCGGGGCGAAUAUGGAACCGGGUAUGGUUCCUUCUGUACAGUCUCUCUGACUGAUAUUCCGGGCUACCCCCUUUCUUCUAACGCGGGUAGCUGUUCUAACACCCUUUCUUUGGAUGCUGCCCGAAAAAUUUUGAGGGGGUUAGAGCUUAGGGAGAGAGUGUACUGGGCGUACCCCUCUGAGAACACUGGUGACGUGCCCCCCUACUUCAUGUUGGCACUCCAUCGAGUGUAUUUCACCAACUUUCCGAUCCUUCCGAUCCCUUCUAUCGUUAGUGAGAUACUUCUUUACUCUGGAACGUGCAUCUCUCAAAUGGGUGCUGCCUUCUUUUUCUAUGUCAGGGGGUUCAUAAAUAUCCUUCGGGAUGCUGGCAUAGUUCCUACCGCUCGGCUGUUCUUCCACUUCUUCACUUUUCAAAAUCCGAAGAAGGGCAGCCUUUUCAUUUCCUGUGCCAGCCGUUCUACUUCUGUUACUCACUCUGCUAUCUUGAAAGAUCCUCCGACCAGGCGGAACAAGAGUGAGUUCAUCUUCGUGGAUUGCAGGUUAUGUCCUGGCAGCAGACUUCUCCCUGCAUCCACUAGUGGCCGUAAGCCUAUUCCUCGUCCUGAUCUGACUGAGGAAGAGGGAGCUUCCGUGCAAAAGCUCGCCUUUUUGCAUCUCAUCGCUGUGCCUGUUUGUCACGCGAUUGAAGAUACCUUUAGCCGACAAGGUCUUCCUUUGUCUGUUUUCCUUUUGUGUUUUUAUACACGCGUAUGUUUUCUAACUCUGUUUUUGUUUCUUGCAGAUUUUUAUAUGCAUCACCCCGGAGGUGUCCCUGAACGCGUCGGACAAAACGAGACGGGUUCUAAAGUUUAUUCCGCUGCCUCCAAACCUUCUGACGCUGAUCAUCUGAGGCAGCGUGCGCUAGAGAACGCCUAUACAAUGGCGAAGUCCCCUACUCCUGAUGAGGCCCGA
rnacentral:lncRNA from 1 species